rnacentral:other from 1 species
AAAACCCUGCCGCUCUCGUGAAGUGGAGCGAUUAAACUUUAGCCAACAAAACAAAAAUCGGGAGCCUGACUCUUCCGUAUCCUUGGAUACGGGAGGAGGGCACCCACCUUUACAAAAAAGGACCUAAGUUUGUCGCUCUGACACGGCCCUGGCAGGGUUUUA